rnacentral:rRNA from 1 species
UACGUAGGGUGCAAGCGUUAAUCGGAAUACUGGGCGUAAAGCGUGCGCAGGCGGUUAUGUAAGACAGGUGUGAAAUCCCCGGGCUUAACCUGGGAACUGCAUUUGUGACUGCAUAGCUAGAGUACGGUAGAGGGGGGAUGGAAUUCCGCGUGUAGCAGUGAAAUGCGUAGAUAUGCGGAGGAACACCGAUGGCGAAGGCAAUCCCCCUGGACCUGUACUGACGCUGCAUGCACGAAAGCGUGGGGAGCAAACAGGAUUAGACUAACCCCAGUAG